AUUGAACGCUGGCGGCAGGCCUAACACAUGCAAGUCGAACGCGUGGCGGACGGGUGAGUAUUGUCUGGGAAAUUGCUCGAUGGAGGGGGAUAACUACUGGAAACGGUAGCUAAUACCGUAUACUAUCGGCUCUGCCCAGAUGGGAUUAGCUAGUAGGUGGGGUAACAGCUCACCUAGGCGACGAUCCAUAGCUUGUCUGAGAGGAUGACCAGCGACACUGGAACUGCGACACGGUCCAGACUCCAACGGGGGGGAGCAGUGGAGAAUAUUGCACAAUGGACGCAAGCCUGAUGCAGCCAUGCCGCGUGUAUGAAGAAGGCCUUCGGGUUGUAAAGUACUUUCAGCGAGGAGGCGUUACUCGCAGAAGAAGCACCGGCUAACUACGUGCCAGCAGCCGCGGUAAUUC
rnacentral:rRNA from 1 species